rnacentral:misc_RNA from 1 species
AACGCACGAGACCUGCGGACCUGCGGAGGGAUCAUUACUGAAUUGAUUUUGGGGAUGUUGCUGGUCUCUUGAGGCAAUGGUGCACUCCCUCAAACAUUUCACAAUUUCCAUCUUACCCAUGUGCACAUCCUGUAGGUGGUCUCCCAACCCACCCUCCAAGGAAAGGGGGGGAGUGUGUGGGUCUGGUCUCCUAUGUAUUUCCUUGCCAACAUCACACGUUUUGACUGAGUGAAUCCUGUG